AGUCCGUAAGAGAGCAACUAAUUCAAAGAUGGCUAGAUCAGCAAGAAGGCUUAAACCCCACCUUAUUGCCAUUGUCGCCAUCCUUUUAUUCUUAGAAUCAAGAUGUGAGAAAGUGAUGAGUGAGGGAGCUAAAAUUGAUAAUGCUGCAAUGAAGAAUAUGUCGAUAAUAGAAGCAUACUGGGAAAUGUUUUCAAAUGACAAAAACUUGCAUGUGUAUUGCUGCUAUGACAACCAUAUAGGAAGCUGCAAUCCUGGUACAAUAGACGACAAACAUUGUAAUGCCAUUUGCCUGAGGCACUCCUGCCAAAAAGGAGGUCGUUGCAAAAUUCUUGGCAGAAGGACUCCAAAUCAUUUUUGUCAUUGCUAUUGCUAAAUUGUUUGUAUCAACUAUCAACAUCAAAUAAUAAUUCUUCCUCA